GACGAACGCUGGCGGCAUGCCUAAUACAUGCAAGUCGAGCGAACAGAUGAAGUGCUUACACUUCUGACGUUAGCGGCGAACGGGUGAGUAACACGUAAGGAAUCUACCUAUAAGCGGGGGAUAACAUUCGGAAACGGGUGCUAAUACCGCAUAAUAUCUUCUUCCGCAUGGAAGAAGAUUGAAAGACGGCUCUGCUGUCACUUAUAGAUGACCUUGCGGUGCAUUAGUUAGUUGGUGGGGUAAUGGCCUACCAAGACGAUGAUGCAUAGCCGACCUGAGAGGGUGAUCGGCCACAUUGGGACUGAGACACGGCCCAAACUCCUACGGGAGGCAGCAGUAGGGAAUCUUCCGCAAUGGGCGAAAGCCUGACGGAGCAAUGCCGCGUGAGUGAAGAAGGCCUU
rnacentral:rRNA from 1 species